CAGUCGCCGCGGGAAUACGAAGGGGGCUAGCGUUGUUCGGAUUUACUGGGCGUAAAGGGUGCGUAGGCGGAUUGUUAAGUCAGGGGUGAAAUCCCGAGGCUCAACCUCGGAACUGCCUUUGAUACUGGCGAUCCUGAGUCCGGGAGAGGUGAGUGGAACUGCGAGUGUAGAGGUGAAAUUCGUGGAUAUUCGCAAGAACACCGGUGGCGAAGGCGGCUCACUGGCCCGGAACUGACGCUGAGGCACGAAAGCGUGGGGAGCAAACAGGAUUAGAUACCCCAGUAGUCCCUGUCUCUUAUAU
rnacentral:rRNA from 1 species